rnacentral:lncRNA from 1 species
ACUGAGUUGGCUCAAUUCGGCAAAAUAAGAACUGAUUGCUAAAAAUUCAAAAUUAUUUUGCACAAUAAUGAUUAAAAUAAUUUUAAUCAUAAGAUUAGAUGUCACAUCUUUUCGCCAUUCAUCUUCAUAGGUAAAAGGGCAUCCCUACAUGCCAUAGAAGAUCUCCAUCGAAUGAAAAGAGAGGGUCAUGAAACCUUACUUUCUC